rnacentral:rRNA from 1 species
GACGAACGCUGGCGGCGUGCUUAACACAUGCGAGUCGAACGGAAAGGCCCUGCUUUUGUGGGGUGCUCGAGUGGCGAACGGGUGAGUAACACGUGAGUAACCUGCCCUUGACUUUGGGAUAACUUCAGGAAACUGGGGCUAAUACCGGAUAGGAGCUCCUGCUGCAUGGUGGGGGUUGGAAAGUUUCGGCGGUUGGGGAUGGACUCGCGGCUUAUCAGCUUGUUGGUGGGGUAGUGGCUUACCAAGGCUUUGACGGGUAGCCGGCCUGAGAGGGUGACCGGCCAAAUGGGGACUGGGAUACGGCCCAGACUCCUACGGGAGGCAGCAGUGGGGAAUAUUGCACAAGGGGCGGAAGCCUGAUGCAGCAACGCCGCGUGGGGAUGACGGCCUUCGGGUUGUAAACCGCUUUCGCCUGUGACGAAGCGUGAGUGACGGUAAUGGGUAAAGAAGCACCGGCUAACUACGUG